AUGUGUAUCCCUAAAAAUGAAGGGGGGAUGGGAUUCCGAAAUUUGCACUGUUUUAAUAAAGCUUUGCUUGCUAAACAGUGUUCGCGGUUGUUAUCUAAUCCAGAUUCCAUAUGUGCUCAGGUCUUACGCGCAAAAUAUUACCCGGAUGGGGACUUGAUGAAUGCUACGCUGAAAAAAGGUUCUUCUUACACAUGGCAGAGCAUUUUGGCAGAGAUGAAAACUUUUAAAGAAGGAGCGAUCUGGCGACCUGGGGAUGGGGCAUCAAUUGAUAUCUGGAAGGAUCAGUGGAUCCCAACAAGCCAUGAUCAAAAGGUAAUGACCCCUAGGGGGCUCUGUUUGCUGCAGAAGGUACACGACUUGAUUGAUCUUGUAACCGGCAGUUGGGACGAACAAAUAGUGAGGGGAUUUUUUUGGCAUGUGGAUGCUGAAAGGAUACUUCAAAUUCCCCUUGCUUCACAUGGCCAUCCUGAUUUUAUCUCCUGGCAUUUCUCUAAGUUAGGAUGUUUUACAGUACGUUCAACAUAUCAUAUCACGGGCAAACUGAAUACAGAACAAGAGCUCAGAUGA
rnacentral:rRNA from 1 species